rnacentral:rRNA from 1 species
UACGUAGGGUGCAAGCGUUGUCCGGAUUUAUUGGGCGUAAAGAGCUCGUAGGCGGUUCGAUAAGUCGGGUGUGAAACCCCCAGGCUCAACCUGGGGCCGCCACUCGAUACUGUCGUGACUCGAGUCCGGUAGGGGACCAUGGAAUUCCUGGUGUAGCGGUGAAAUGCGCAGAUAUCAGGAGGAACACCAGCAGCGAAGGCGGUGGUCUGGGCCGGUACUGACGCUGAGGAGCGAAAGCGUGGGGAGCGAACAGG